AUACCUGCAGCUCGAGUGGUGAUCACUAUUAUUGGGCCUAAAACGUCCGUAGCCGGUCUAGUAAAUGCCUGGGUAAAUCGUACGGCUUAACCGUACGAAUUCUGGGUAGACUGCUAAACUUGAGACCGGGAGAGGCUAGAGGUACUCCUGGGGUAGAGGUGAAAUUCUGUAAUCCUAGGGGGACCACCAGUGGCGAAGGCGUCUAGCUAGAACGGGUCUGACGGUGAGGGACGAAGCCCUGGGGCGCGAACCGGAUUAGAUACCCGGGUAGUCCAGGGUGUAAACGCUGCUUGCUUGAUGUUAGUCGGGCUCCGAGCCCGAUUAGUGUCGGAGUGAAGAUGUUAAGCAAGCUGCCUGGGAAGUACGAUCGCAAGAUUGAA
rnacentral:rRNA from 1 species